rnacentral:tRNA from 1 species
GCCCGGCUAGCUCAGUUGGUAGAGCAUGAGACUCUUAAUCUCAGGGUCGUGGGUUCGAGUCCCACCUUGUGUC